UUAAAUUGAAGAGUUUGAUCAUGGCUCAGAUUGAACGCUGGCGGCAGGCCUAACACAUGCAAGUCGAACGGUAACAGGAAGCAGCUUGCUGCUUCGCUGACGAGUGGCGGACGGGUGAGUAAUGUCUGGGAAACUGCCUGAUGGAGGGGGAUAACUACUGGAAACGGUGGCUAAUACCGCAUAACGUCGCAAGACCAAAGAGGGGGACCUUCGGGCCUCUUGCCAUCAGAUGUGCCCAGAUGGGAUUAGCUAGUUGGUGAGGUAACGGCUCACCAAGGCGACGAUCCCUAGCUGGUCUGAGAGGAUGACCAGCCACACUGGAACUGAGACACGGUCCAGACUCCUACGGGAGGCAGCAGUGGGGAAUAUUGCACAAUGGGCGCAAGCCUGAUGCAGCCAUGCCGCGUGUAUGAAGAAGGCCUUCGGGUUGUAAAGUACUUUCAGCGGGGAGGAAGGUGUUGUGGUUAAUAACCGCAGCAAUUGACGUUACCCGCAGAAGAAGCACCGGCUAACUCCGUGCCAGCAGCCGCGGUAAUACGGAGGGUGCAAGCGUUAAUCGGAAUUACUGGGCGUAAAGCGCACGCAGGCGGUCUGUCAAGUCGGAUGUGAAAUCCCCGGGCUCAACCUGGGAACUGCAUUCGAAACUGGCAGGCUUGAGUCUUGUAGAGGGGGGUAGAAUUCCAGGUGUAGCGGUGAAAUGCGUAGAGAUCUGGAGGAAUACCGGUGGCGAAGGCGGCCCCCUGGACAAAGACUGACGCUCAGGUGCGAAAGCGUGGGGAGCAAACAGGAUUAGAUACCCUGGUAGUCCACGCCGUAAACGAUGUCUACUUGGAGGUUGUGCCCUUGAGGCGUGGCUUCCGGAGCUAACGCGUUAAGUAGACCGCCUGGGGAGUACGGCCGCAAGGUUAAAACUCAAAUGAAUUGACGGGGGCCCGCACAAGCGGUGGAGCAUGUGGUUUAAUUCGAUGCAACGCGAAGAACCUUACCUGGUCUUGACAUCCACAGAACUUUCCAGAGAUGGAUUGGUGCCUUCGGGAACUGUGAGACAGGUGCUGCAUGGCUGUCGUCAGCUCGUGUUGUGAAAUGUUGGGUUAAGUCCCGCAACGAGCGCAACCCUUAUCCUUUGUUGCCAGCGGUCCGGCCGGGAACUCAAAGGAGACUGCCAGUGAUAAACUGGAGGAAGGUGGGGAUGACGUCAAGUCAUCAUGGCCCUUACGACCAGGGCUACACACGUGCUACAAUGGCGCAUACAAAGAGAAGCGACCUCGCGAGAGCAAGCGGACCUCAUAAAGUGCGUCGUAGUCCGGAUUGGAGUCUGCAACUCGACUCCAUGAAGUCGGAAUCGCUAGUAAUCGUGGAUCAGAAUGCCACGGUGAAUACGUUCCCGGGCCUUGUACACACCGCCCGUCACACCAUGGGAGUGGGUUGCAAAAGAAGUAGGUAGCUUAACCUUCGGGAGGGCGCUUACCACUUUGUGAUUCAUGACUGGGGUGAAGUCGUAACAAGGUAACCGUAGGGGAACCUGCGGUUGGAUCACCUCCUUACCUGAAAGAA
rnacentral:rRNA from 1 species